UAUUGAUCAAAACAUUACACGUCUAACAGCUCCUUUCAAAACAUAGACAGUGAUCGUGACGCUGCAUACGACUUGCUGAAAGUAAAAUGAAAAUCUUCAUUCUAUUUGCUUUUGUAAGUGUCAUCGCAACAGAAUUAACAGAGGAGAAGGAUGUUAUAGUUCUUACAACAGAUAACUGGAGUGAAGCUGUCCGAGAAGAUAACAAUAUUUUAGUAGAAUUCUAUGCGCCAUGGUGUGGACAUUGUCAAACACUAGAGCCUGAAUAUGCCAAAGCGGCUAAAAAAUUAAAAGACUUAAAAUCAACGAUAACUCUAGGAAAAGUUGACGCCACAGUGGAGACAAAACUUGC
rnacentral:lncRNA from 1 species